rnacentral:rRNA from 1 species
ACGCUCGACACCUACGGAGGCAGCAGUGGGGAAUAUUGCACAAUGGGGGAAACCCUGAUGCAGCGACGCCGCGUGGAGGAAGAAGGUCUUCGGAUUGUAAACUCCUGUUGUUGGGGAAAAAGAGGAUGGUACCCAACAAGGAAGUGACGGCUAACUACGUGCCGACAGCCGCGGUAAUCUGAGCGGGCGUGGCAAGGC